UCAUAUUGGCCCCUUGAUAAGGUCCAUGACAUUGAAGAUUGAAGAAAAAAUUCUCCUACUUUAUAUUCUUUUCUUUCUUCAUUGUUUGUAUAGGUGUAGGUUUCCUUUGUAUUUUUGUAGGAUUUUACAGACGCACAUGUGAGCCUUGAUUGAUCCUCACAUUGUUGGACAACCAAACACCUUAGAAACUCUAGUCAAAUUUAGUCAACACAUAAUAGAGGCUAGAAGUCCCACAUUACAUGGAAUACACCAAAAUAUGGUACUUCACUCUUAAUUGAAGUGCGUCGAUCCUCUUUUUGUUUCAAACUUCAAUCCGACUUGUUUUAAG
rnacentral:lncRNA from 1 species